rnacentral:rRNA from 1 species
GACCAGACUCCUACGGGAGGCAGCAGUGGGGAAUAUUGCACAAUGGGGGAAACCCUGAUGCAGCGACGCCGCGUGAGUGAAGAAGUAUUUCGGUAUGUAAAGCUCUAUCAGCAGGGAAGAAAAUGACGGUACCUGACUAAGAAGCCCCGGCUAACUACGUGCCAGCAGCCGCGGUAAUACGUAGGGGGCAAGCGUUAUCCGGAUUUACUGGGUGUAAAGGGAGCGUAGACGGCAUGGCAAGUCAGAUGUGAAAGCCCGGGGCUCAACCCCGGGACUGCAUUUGAAACUGUCAGGCUGGAGUGCAGGAGAGGUAAGUGGAAUUCCUAGUGUAGCGGUGAAAUGCGUAGAUAUUAGGAGGAACACCAGUGGCGAAGGCGGCUUACUGGACUGUAACUGACGUUGAGGCUCGAAAGCGUGGGGAGCAAACAGGAUUAGAUACCCGCGUAC